UACAGAGGUGGCAAGCGUUGUUCGGAAUUACUGGGCGUAAAGGGCGCGUAGGCGGUCUUGUAAGUCCCGUGUGAAAUCCCUCGGCUCAACUGAGGAACUGCACGGGAACUGCUUGGCUUGAGUUCGGGGAGAGGGAAGCGGAAUUCCGGGUGUAGCGGUGAAAUGCGUAGAUAUCCGGAGGAACACCGGUGGCGAGGGCGGCUCCUGGACCGACACUGAGCUGAGCG
rnacentral:rRNA from 1 species